rnacentral:lncRNA from 1 species
AUGGCUUCCUGUUUGUUUACAAAUGGCUCCAGGCGUGCCAUGUUGGAAAGGAGCCCUGCUUCCUCCACUACAGGACGGGUCUGGCGGUUUCCAGCAGGCACUGGUCUCUCCUCUGACCUCGUCAUUGGCAGCUGGCACUUGCCAGAAGGGAAGCAUUGGUUAAAGAAAAGUCAAUCCCAGUCACUGCUCUGCAGGGAACAGGGUCAUACAUGUCCUCUGCAGCCCCGUUUCCAAGCACCGAGGUGGCAUUUUUAUUCGUUCAACUACCAUUUGUUGAAAACCUACUAUGUUCUACAUAUUGUGCCAGAAGCUGAGGAUACAGAAAUAAAACCCAAACUGUUGCCAUGCUUAAUUCACAUUCAUUCAUAAGUUGUUUGGAAAUAGGGACUUAAUACAUGAAUGAUUUCCAUGUAACGUGGUACACUCUGAGCUUGUAAAGCUUGCUUUUAUGGUAGAGGAGGUGCUCAGAACUGCCUCAGUGACUCUUCUUUUCUGUGAACGUAGGUGGCCUUCCAUUUCCCACUUCUUGUGUGUGAGUUCUCUUCAAAUGUAUACACUCGUGUGCAAGUUCUCAUCAAACACAUACACUCGUGUGCAUUUCAAGCACAGAGGUUCUGGUUAUUCAGGGCUUGUCUUAUUGCCACAUCCAGGAACUCUCAGUUCAUAAAAUAUUAUUUUCAAGAGUGUUGGAACAUACGGAAUGAUGCGAUUCCCUCAUGACUGGACCUAACAAGGGCAGCCCUAGACUGUGCUCUUGCUCAUGAGCCAAAACUGACAGGUGCCAUUGUCAAGACAAGACUGGACCUACAGAAACUGCAGAUAAAUGAAAGUGGCGUACAAUAUACAGGUUUGGGAAAUAUUCAGCCUGUGAAGAGAAAGCUUUUUCCCUUUUUCUUGAGGGAAAUGUGGCCUUGAGAGAUAGAAAGUUAUGAGCUAAAUCAGCAAAUCAAAUCUGGUGUAUAUUGAAGAAAAUAAAAUUGCAGAACUUGAAGGGCCUUUGAAGACC